GGGGUGCCUCCUGAGGCUCCAUGCCCAGUGCAACCAAACCGGUUGCGCUUCCCUAAAUCUGCCUCUGCCUGUUUCAGGGCCUUUGGUGGGCUUCUGCUAGCAGUUACCCCAAGGAAGCACUCCACCCACCGGCACAUUCAACACUGCAGAUGGAGGAGACCUCCGCCCAAUCAACACACUCCUUCCACCCCAAGUCCAGCACAAAGGGCGUCUGGAUUGCAAAGGAGUUUCAAGAAAAGAGAUUGAUAUGGCAGGAGAAUUACUUGUGUGAAACUGAAGUUUCUUUCAUGGAUCACAAGGCUGGAACAGAUUACAGCUAUUGAUUGCUGCCUGGAGAAUGUUCUCGCUGUGAGAACGGAAGGCGAGCAGCAGUGACAGACAGCUCAGCUAUUGAUCUACUCCAGCAGGGAAACUGCACUUCAAAAUGAAGCUGCCACCAUCCACAAUGGGCAAGAAUCCAGAAGACUGCUGCAGUAGUCCAUGAACUUUGUCUAUAUCUCCAGGCUGCAAUAACAGAAACUCACCCAAGCAGUAGCCAGCGGCCAUAGAUAGUUCAAGUACAAAUAUUGUCAAGGAGGACUUCAAAUUCAACUGGAUAUUAGAAAUUUUGUGAUCUAAACCUAGCUCACCUGCCAUCUACAACAGGUUAUUAGGAGGUUGAUAAUCACCUGGUUUGCUGCCUAGCUGGGACUGCAAAAACAGACAGGUUAUCAAGCAUCCUUCAGGCCACAAUACGUGACUUAGGGGCUGUGCAACAGGCUGCAUGUUGUGCAGGUCUAUUUUAGCUAUUUUGUAAAAAGGCCUAGGUGAGUCAAGCAGGCUAAGAAGAAAGCUUCUAAAAUCAGCGUGCCUUGCCAAAUGAUAUAUACCGUAUUGACCCAAAUAUAAGCAG